AUAUUUUUUUGGUAUAGAUAUUAGAUGGAGAUUUUUUUUUCUUAUGGAUAUGUUAGAUGGAGAUUUAAUUGGUUUUUAGACUUGUAAUAUAUUAGAUUCAAGCAAAAUAAUUUCUUUCAAAGUUGCCAAUUUUUGCUAAUAUGUUGACAUAAUAAUAAAUAGGGAAAUAUUUGUAGUGUAUGAUUUAUGACUAUUUUUUGGACCAAAAGAUGCUUAGGAAUAGCUUUUGCUUUGUUUUCAGGAAAGUGUUGCUGAUUCCAUGGCAAAGCCUACUCAGUUUGCAGCUCGACCUAAUCUUUCUCCUUAUGCAUCCCCAGUGAUUCCUAUGGACUAUGAUGAUGGUAUUCCAUACAGAGGAUUUGGACAGUGGGGGUGAAGCAUUAUUUCUGCCUUUUUCUUAGCCUGUGGGGCUUUAGUUGGCAGGUUUUAUUUGAUUCCUGUUUUAUGUUCUGUUAUGAGCUUUAAUAAACUACCAAUUUCUAAUAAAGAAAAGAAAGUGAGAAAAGUGAAGAGGAAAAUUUGAUGUUCUUCUAUAGAUACAUUUUUUGUCACAGAAUGCAAGUAAUAGAAGAAAGGGUCCAGUCUUCUAGCUAUGACUUCUCAUUGUUAUCCAACUUUCAGAAGAUUGGACAAAAUUGAGAGGAGUGCAUGAUUUCUAUGUGGUUAAUACAAGUGUCUUUACUGAUUCAUUUAUUUGUUCAACCAGCGUGUGCUUCCGAUGUAUUUAGAUAAAAGCUUUCGUUAUUCUAUAGUGAAAGGGUCUGCAUCAUUAUUUUCAAAUAUUUAUGAUAUUAUUUAAACCCCCUAAUUGAGUUGGUGUCAUGAGUCAAUUGAGCUCCAAUUCGGUUAGAGAAAUUGUUAAAAUGUUCUUCCCUAAUUAAAAUAAAUUGUAUUAUUUGACGGUAUUUUAGUCUUUUUAUUUAAAAAUAAUAAUAAGUUUACAUGUGGUGGGAUUUUAA